rnacentral:rRNA from 1 species
ACAAUGGGCGCAAGCCUGAUGGAGCAACACCGCGUGAGUGAAGAAGGGUUUCGGCUCGUAAAGCUCUGUUGUUAAAGAAGAACACGUAUGAGAGUAACUGUUCAUACGUUGACGGUAUUUAACCAGAAAGUCACGGCUAACUACGUGCCAGCAGCCGCGGUAAUACGUAGGUGGCAAGCGUUAUCCGGAUUUAUUGGGCGUAAAGAGGGUGCAGGCGGUUUUCUAAGUCUGAUGUGAAAGCCUUCGGCUUAACCGGAGAAGUGCAUCGGAAACUGGAUAACUUGAGUGCAGAAGAGGGUAGUGGAACUCCAUGUGUAGCGGUGGAAUGCGUAGAUAUAUGGAAGAACACCAGUGGCGAAGGCGGCUACCUGGUCUGCAACUGACGCUGAGACUCGAAAGCAUGGGUAGCGAACAGGAUUAGAUACCCUGGUAG